AGUAGGUGCAGUCAUUCUUUCAGAGAUCAGAUUUCUUUUGCAGUCUCUUUUCUAUACCCUGUAGGUAAUAAAUUCCAGUUGGAUGUAUGGCAGCAGGAGUGACAUUCAUUGACCCAAACAGUCAGCCACCCAGGAGGUUUUUGUUGAUUAGGCAUGUGGUUUUGUUCCAAGUGAAGAAAGAGAAAGAAAACUUUUGGAAUAUUCUAUUAAUGGGGACAGAGCUCUUGCACUGUUUUGGGAAGGACAACUGGUGAUCUACAGACCAUGAAAAUCCAAGUUCCCAGCAGCCUGCCACAUGGACUGCCAAUAAGCUGGAUGAGGUAGCCAGCAAGAACCUGAGUUUUAAAACCUGCCUGGCAGUGAAGCUCGUCUUGGAGACUGCCUAGCAUCUGUCAGAACGUCUUUGAAAUUAAACCGUGUCUGUGAAAAGUUCUAAAUUUGCCAAAUUGUCAAAUUCCAAUUAAACACUAUUUGGUAAGAAUUUUUCCAACGUGCUGUAAUUAAAAGGAAACUGAAUUGCCACAUCCACUUUUGUGCCUGUUCAAAUUCCCAGCUGUAGUUUUUGCCAGUGUUCCUGGUUAAAAUGUUAUGUAGACAUGUAUGUAGGUCCACAACACAUUUCUGAAUCCAGGAAGUCACUCUUUCCAGCAAGAAAAAAAAAAAAAAAGGCAACAUCCAUGGCCAGACUGUUUAUAGUUCUUUCACCUCGUGAUUUUUCUUUGAGGAAGGUUUUUUAGUAGAAGUAUUUCUCUCUACACAGUUUAUUUCUAAGAGAUAUUGUGUCCUGAUGAACAGUUUCAAAAAGGUCAGGCAAACUGUACUGUUCAGGCUGUCUGAAAAAGAUUGUUCUUAAAUAUUUCUUAAACUUGAUAUUCCCUGGAAGAUUAACUGCCUUAUAAAUGACAUUUUGACAGAUUGUUUUAGCUAUGAAGGGUUAUGUGUAUGUGCUGAAUUUUAAAGCCUGCCUGUUAACUUUCAAAGUGAAUUGAAAUGAGUAAUUUAUUUUUCUGAUAUUUGGUAUGUUAUGUCAUUUCUGAAAUAUAGAGAUCUUCACCUGGGCAAUAUAAAAGAUACUGUAGAACCAACAGUACUUUGAGCUCCACACAUAGCCACACCCUUUUGACUGUGAUAUUAAAGAAAACUCCCAAAAUACAAAUAUGGAUUUUAAAAAGAAGUGCAGCACGUUGACAUGAUGAAUUCUUUAGAAAAUCUGCUUGUACAUUUCAAAAGGCUGGUGGGUGCCAGGCAGUUUGUAAAUCACCGUCAUUAGAUACCUAAUUAUAAAUGGAGUUUUUCUGAGAAGCUUGUUCACUGAACACUGACACUAUGAUGACAAAAUCCAAAACAGAUACAUCAUCUUGAUUAACUGACUGUAUUUCCUAGACAGGAACUGAUCUAUUUCUUUACAUAUUUACUUCCUUGGCUCUGAAGCUGAGGAAUGUCUUGUUUUAGAGCUCUGUCCAGGUGAAGGAUCCCCAUGUAAGGAAUAUUCUAUAUCCAGUGUGUCUUUCUACACUGAGAGCAGGACCUUUGUAAAUGCCUAUGGCUUCAGCUACCCCACAUCUCUUUACAGAGUGAGUCUUUUUGCUUCUGUGAGUGUUUGAUCUUCGCAGGUACAACAAAGUUUUUCUGGUGUAACCCUGGAAAGCCUGCUACUGCUCUACAUCUAGAAUAAUAAAAUAAGAAGAGGAUGCUCA
ensembl:lncRNA